AACGAACGCUGGCGGCGUGCUUAACACAUGCAAGUCGAGCGAGAAAAGUUCUUCGGAGCUUUUCUAGCGGCGGACGGGUGAGUAACACGUGGGCAACCUGCCUCAUAGAGGGGAAUAGCCUUCCGAAAGGAAGAUUAAUACCGCAUAACAUUGUUGAAAGGCAUCUUUUAACAAUCAAAGGAGCAAUCCGCUAUGAGAUGGGCCCGCGGCGCAUUAGCUAGUUGGUGAGGUAACGGCUCACCAAGGCGACGAUGCGUAGCCGACCUGAGAGGGUGAUCGGCCACAUUGGAACUGAGACACGGUCCAGACACCUACGGGAGGCAGCAGUGGGGAAUAUUGCACAAUGGGGGAAACCCUGAUGCAGCAACGCCGCGUGAGUGAUGAAGGUCUUCGGAUUGUAAAGCUCUGUCUUUAGGGACGAUAAUGACGGUACCUAAGGAGGAAGCCCCGGCUAACUUCGUGCCAGCCGCCGCCGUAACAC
rnacentral:rRNA from 1 species